rnacentral:misc_RNA from 1 species
AACGCACAUUGCGCCCAUUGGUAUUCCGAUGGGCAUGCCUGUUCGAGCGUCAUUAUCCUCCCUCAAACCUCGUGUUUGGUGUUGGACCGCGUUGGCCGAGCGACCAACUGGUCUCAAAGACAAUGACGGCGUCCGUGGGACCCUCGGUGCAACGAGCUUCUAAGGAGCACGCGUCGAGUUUCAAGGACCCUCCGGGCCGGUCUUACCUCUAUCUUCUCAGGUUGACCUCGGAUCAGGUAGGAAUACCCGCUGAACUUAA